rnacentral:lncRNA from 1 species
UACUUUUUUGUUUCGUGCCACUUGCAAGUUGACCUUCGCCUCGCGAUUGUUUUUUUUGUAGUUGUAGUAACGCCAGUUGCAAGUCCAUCAUCGACUCGCAACUCGGCUCGUAGUUUUUUUUUUCACGUCACUUGCAAGUCGACCCUCGACUUGGGGGCAAAAUGAUGAGAUAGAUGGGGUUCAUAUCUACUUGAUACAGAGAGGAUACAAUUUAUAAUUUUUUCCCAAGCACUUUACUCAUUUUAUUUGGUCCAAAAGAAUAACCGACUUAAAUCUUUGUUUCUACUGGACAAAAGGGAUAGCAUGUUAACCACCAACUGAAAUUUAUUUGUUAGUCAGUAAGAGGAUUUGAUGGUGUUGCAAACUCAUGACCCUGAGAGGCGAAUGAGUAAGGUGGAAUCAACUGCAGAAAUUGUUGUCCAUUGUUUUGCAUUUGAAAAAGCCUCAGGUCAAACACCACUGCUGGGUACUGGGAUGCACAGGCUACAAUCAAAACAAAGCAGUAAGUUCAUCUCAUGUUUUUUCCUGUCAUUUUUGUUUUUAUGGUCCCAUGUGUAUUUAUGAAUCAAUAUUUAUUUAUUUUUCUUUUUUCCCAAAUCAUACCUGAGUGCCAACGUAGUCCCCUGCAUAGCUAUCUUCAUUUCCCGCGGUCAUCAGUUUUUACAAAAUUUAACAUUAUGCUUUUCUUCGCCUAAAGAUUUUAUGGAAUGGAGGAGCACACCCCUAAGUCUUUUUCUUAGGGGCAACAUGGUAACAUUUGUCAUAUGUUGUUUUCUUUCUUAUCAGGUGCCAACACUUCUUUUGUGAACAUGCAUAAUACACUGAGAUGCAGUCAAAUUCUAAGUUCUUCUUUCUUAGAUGAAAAAUUCUAAAUUCAGAGUCAGCACUUUUUAUUUUGUUCUCUAACAAGGUAAUGAUGCAUCUUUUCCUCUUUCUUUUCCCUAGUGAGGCCAAAUAUAUUUUCUUGAUCAGGUUGUAUAUAGAAAUGUAGUUACAGUUUUUUUGGAAAGGCAAUGUUUUUUGCUGAAUAAAUGGGAACAAAUGCCAUCUGAAAGUUGUUGCACGCAAACUGGAACAAGGAGGUGUUUUUGUUCUGAUCUUUCAGUUAGCACAUGUAUGAAGCUCAACCCAUCUGAAACAAACAAGCUAUCUGGCAUGUAAAAGAUAGUGAUAUGCAGUUUUUCUCUGACCAGUUUCUAAGGCUAGAUCAGUUUUCUGAGCCUAGAUCACACUGACAUGCACUUUAUUUAGGCGCAACAACACAAUGUUGUCUGUGUGUUCAUGUAGAUAUGGUCUGCUUAGAAAGACUUUGCUCUGAUUUUUUUGACGACAAAAAACUGUUUAACUGUUGUGUGUUUUUUCCAGAGACCAGGACCAUAUGUUUGAUGGAAAAAGAAAGGAUAAUCAUGAGCAAAAAAUAAAGAUCUACCAUCAGAAAUUAUCUAGAAGGUUGUACACGAUCUUGCCAGAAAGGAUCUACAAGGAGAGGCCAAAUUUUGUACUUGGGUUUUCGCAACUUUUCGUCAGCCACCUAAGCUUCUUUUGCAACUGUUUUUUUUUCUGCCAACAAGGCCCAGGUCUGUGCGCACAUGUUGCUCUUUUUUUUUGUCAAACAAACAAAUAGACAAAUAAAGCCCAACAAACAAGGUCCAGGGGCAGGGGGUAGUUCGGCUGGGUGGGGUGGACUGGCCAGACACAAACAAACAAUACAAACAAGCGUCUAUGUGUGUGAGGGUGAUCGGGUGCAACCAGGCUGGUUGUUUGAUUAGAGGAUGAUGUCAGCUUAGUCUCACAUCUAGAUGCAACAUAGACAGACCCUAUUCAGGACCUCUUAACUGGCUUUAUCCUCUCUUUUAACCUGUCAAUUAUUUCCGUCUCGGUGUUUAAUUCUGUCUCAUUGGGUUGGAACUGCAGGAGCCAUGCCCUUGAUUCUUGCUCCGAAAGUGGACCUGGAGAAAUUUUUGGUUCGACGAUGUAAGAUACUCCCUCCGUUCCGAAUUACUUGUCUUAGAUUUGUUUAAAUACGGAUGUAUCUAGCAUUAAAAUGAGUCUAAAUACAUCAGUAUCUAGACAAAUUCAAGACAAGUAAUUCGGAACGGAGGGAGUAUUACUUAGUGCGUUUGGUCAUGGUACUGUUUCCCCAAAGGUGGUUAUUUCUUCAUUUUUGAAUCAUGCUUGUUGUGUGCUGAUGGUGCGUGAGGAACGCCAUGGUUCUUCUCUGAAUCAUUUGGUAGUUCUCUCAAUCUUGUGCAUUUUGUUCUCUAAAACAUGUGGUAUUUCUAGGUGCACAGCAUGUUGUGUGGUGGAUAGGGGAAGCUGAGGCGACGACUGGCGACUGUUCUCUUUACAACUGGCGUGGUUGAGAGGCUAGGGAGUAGGUCAUUUUGCUAUUUGGUCAGCGAUGGAGAUGAAUUCGGGAGAGAUGUGGCUGGGAGUUGUACCGGUCAUUUUUCUGUCUCUAUAUUAUCCAUUUGCACUAAUCGGUAACAGUUUUUUGAGCAGGCAAUAGUGUAGCAUGCAUGAACAGAAAAAUUGUAUAAGGCGAGGAGGACAAUCUGAGCGACCAACAUUAUGUUUUUUUACAGAACGACCAACAUUAUGUUGAGUAUUGAGAUGUAGGUAAGGCACGUAUAAUCUGAAUUGAGCCAUAUGGAGGGCAUGUAUAGUCUGUAUGUGCAGUCUUAAUUGUAUGUUGAAUUCUUCGCUACUAGGAAAAGGGCUAUAGCUAAUAUGGUAUAGCAGUGGCGCACCAUGUGUAGGUACGCCAUUAAUGUCCAUAUCACUAAUGGCGUACCACACCCAUGGUGCGCCAUUACUAACAUUUUUUUUCCAAAACUAGUAAUGGCGCACCACACACUCUGUGCGUCACUACUAACAAUUUUUUUUAUUUUUUUUCAAAACUAGUAAUGGCGCAUUAGUGUAUAGUGCGCCAUUACUAGUUCAAACUAGUAAUGGCGCACCACAACCAUGGUGCGCCACUACUAACAUUUUUUUUACUUUUUUGCAAAAACUAGUAAUGGCGCAUCACAUAAUAGGUGCGCCAUUUAAAAGAUCGUGAAUGU